CCUGGCGCUUUUUGAGGAGCCCGCGGCCUAUCAGCUAGUUGGUGAGGUAGCGGCUCACCAAGGCUAUGACGGGUAGCUGGUCUGAGAGGACGACCAGUCACACUGGAACUGAGACACGGUCCAGACACCUACGGGUGGCAGCAGUCGAGAAUUUUUCUCAAUGGGGGCAACCCUGAAGGAGCGACGCCGCGUGGAGGAUGAAGGCUUUCGGGCUGUAAACUCCUGUCAUUUGAGAACAAGUGUGGCCAAGUAACUACUGGCUACUUGAUAGUAUCAGAAGAGGAAGAGACGGCUAACUCUGUGCCAGCAGCCGCGGUAAUACAGAGGUCUCAAGCGUUGUUCGGAUUCAUUGGGCGUAAAGGGUGCGUAGGUGGCGGGGUAAGUCAGGUGUGAAAUUUCGGAGCUUAACUCCGAAACUGCAUUUGAUACUGCCUUGCUUGAGGACUGGAGAGGAGACUGGAAUUUACGGUGUAGCAGUGAAAUGCGUAGAGAUCGUAAGGAAGACCAGUGGCGAAGGCGGGUCUCUGGACAGUUCCUGACACUGAGGCACGAAGGCCAGGGGAGCAAACGGGAUUAGAUACCCCGGUAGUCCUGGCAGUAAACGGUGCACGUUUGGUGUGGGGGGAUUCGACCCCUUCCGCGCCGGAGCUAACGCGUUAAACGUGCCGCCUGGGGAGUACGGUCGCAAGAUUAAAACUCAAAGGAAUUGACGGAAUCGA
rnacentral:rRNA from 1 species